UAAUGUUGCGAAAGAUGCACAAAUGUAUCAUUUCGUCUUCUGUUGGAUAGAACAAAAGAGAUCGAGAAGUUUAAAGUUUAAAGUUAAAGUUAGUUGUGGAGCUGCAUAGGCAUAUGAAUAAGUUACUGCACGGGUAAUUUGGUUUCUUCUGUGAACUUGAAUACCAUAAGUUUUGGAAAAGUAAAUAUUAAUCAUCUUUGAAUUUGCAAGCCUCAAAAUUAGGGGAAAAGAUCCUAGAUCGAUCUGACCUCCUUGGUGAGGAGGGGAAGAUGGAGGAGGCUCUCGUUCUCGGCACUCGGAUCUCGAUAGGAUCGGCAUCAGCUCCAAUCAUCUGCAAAACACAAAAUAAAGAUCAAGCCUUGGCAACAGAACCACGGGAAACCUGAAAUUCUGUACUGAACAAGAAGAGAUAAGUUGGGGAGAAAUUUAGGUCGCCUGAUUGAUGAGCUCCUGCAUAUGCAUACUGAAUGUUGAGCUUUAUUUCACCGACACUUGGUUCUGAACAUGUGUGCUUUUAAGAAAGUUUGUAUUCUUCUCUAUUUUGAACAGCCCACAAAGAGACUAAAAAAUGGUGAUAUGUUCCUUUCCGUGGUUUAAGAACUCUGGGACUAGGCCCAACUAACAAAUAGCUUCCUCGUCUUAAAAUACAUCUGUGUUCAGCUGUUUUCAGGAGAAAUGUUCGAUCAUUUUCAGAUGAUCAUCAUAUGGUCAGCGAGAUUCAAGGGAACACGCGACCCGAUUAUGCCUUCUAUAAGCAAAGCUGAGUUGUUGAGGUAAUUGUUCUUUAGGUGCCUUCUAUAAACACGCGACACAUAUGUAUGUUCUUUUCAUAUGGUGCCUUAUAUAAGUACAUUUUAGUAAUAUGUGUCUUGUUUUACUUUUGUCCUUGGUGACUGUGGCAGUAUGCUUGGCUUUGGUUAUUAUGUUUGAGUGUAAAAUUGCUUGUUGAAAUGAUGAAUGUGCUAAUUCAUCACUAGUCUCAUUCCUUCUUGCAAAUAGUUUCUCUACCUUUUUUCAGUUACAAGUGUCCUUUGGUUAAUGGAUGAUUCUCUUUCGCUCGCGGUAGCUUGCUCGAGGCAGACCUGCAAGCCCGAUGGAAAACUAACCGCGUACACCGUGUCGUGGCUUCGAGUUUCAGCGUCGACAUCACCUUUCUCUAACUGGCUUGCUUAGCCAUGGACAGUGAGACCACCCUUCAUUGAUUUCUUGAUCUAUAUCUUUAUUCUAGGCAUUAUGUCUGUGUUGGCUGUACAAUUGUUCAAACUCUAGCCUAGCUAUAGGUUUGUUUGAGGGGGAUUGAGUAGGAGUGUCUCUUUUCUAUAUCUAAAAUGGAUUUAACAUCCAACUUUAGUCAAGAACAAACCAUCAGUAAGGAAGUGUAACCUGGGAGAGGUGUGCAGAAAUCCUUGAGAAAAGAGAUAAUCACUAUGAAUGCUACUUUCCAGUGAUUUCUGGUGAUCCAUUAAUUUUUAUGAGUGAACUCGGAAGUUUUAUGCAUAUUAGAAAGUUGCAUUUCUGAUCCACAUGCUUGCUAAAUGCGUAUUUUUUCUUCCAUUUUUUGCUAGAAAGUAGGGAGCCUAGCACGAUUUACAUAUAUUUUACAUGAACUUCAUGCAACCACCUGCUAUGAAUAUGAGAUGUCACAACAUAGUUACUUUAGUGAGAAGUUACUGAACAUACUUUCUAUAUCUCUGGAUUUGGUUGAAGUGUUUCUUCCGUUAUCCACUCUCUCACUGGGCUUGUUUCUCUCUGCUUCCAUUUUAGUACUUGAGUAACACAUGAGACUGAAUAUUGUACCAUGUUAACUCUUGGAUCCACUCACAACCAGAAGGUGCAGCAAUCUAGAGCAGAAUAAACUCAGUUAAAUCAGCUUAUCUAACAAAGCCCUAUAACAGAACAAAUUAUGCAGAGUCUUGAAAGGAGACAUUCGUGAUGAUUUCUCAGUGAGGCGAUGCACUUGGUGACAAACCGAAUUUACGGGGAGGAGCAGGCGGCGGGGCCAGAGAGAUACUUAC
rnacentral:lncRNA from 1 species